rnacentral:rRNA from 1 species
UACGAAGGGGCUAGCGUUGUUCGGAUUUACUGGGCGUAAAGCGCGCGUAGGCGGCUUUGCAAGUCAGGUGUGAAAUCCCCAGGCUCAACCUGGGAACUGCAUUCGAGACUGCAUUGCUAGAGUAUGGGAGAGGGAAGUGGAAUUUCCGGUGUAGCGGUGAAAUGCGUAGAUAUCGGAAGGAACUCAGUGGCGAAAGCGACUUCCUGGACCAAUACUGACGUCAUGUGCGAAAGCGUGGGGAG